GACUGAGUGCCCGAGCGUCCCCGCCGCCCCGCCGCCCUUCCUGGCCGCCGGGCUGCGGUCCAGCCCCCGGCCUCGCUAUCCUAGUUCUCUGCUUGGGGUCCUGCUUCUGCUCUUGCCGCCGCCUCUCCCGCUUCUUCCGGGGGGGACAUGCCGCAGAAUCUAGACUGCUCAGUGCUCCGACGUCUGCUCUCUGACAACCCCGCCGACGCCGCCAUUCGCUGCCUCAGCAAAGGGGUGCUCAAAAACGGAAGUGAUCAUUUUACCAAAUAGGCAUUUUCCAGCUUAAAAAAGAUGUGCACAUUAUUUUUCUUGGUUUACUCUUCCUAUAAUCGAUACCGUUUAGUGUAGAAAAGCCUUCUCCUUGCUCCAUUGUUUUGAAAGAAUUAAUAUAGACUGCCUCUCAUCAAAUUUUUCCACGAUUUUAAAUUAAGUUAAUCUCAGACUGUUAACUUUUCUUUUCAGCUGGACACAUUUAGAGACUCAGUGUAUCUUUCUCUUCACUCCGGAAAGAGACAGCCACUAAGAGAUUAGCUGAUUUGAGUAUCCCUCUGUGGUCGAUUAUACCAUUGCAAAUCCUGCUCUGCUUUAGGUUGGCAGUUUAUUAUUUAAUCCAGUAAUUAUUCAAAAUUCACUUGGACAGAUUUGUAAGGUAGCAGCAGAUAUUACUUAAAAAUCUUUUCCUUUCCUGCUUUUACAAACAUGUAGUUCCUUCCUGAAAGGUAAUGUUAGUUUUGUGGGGGGUUUGGUUUUUUUUUGGUACUGCUUCUCUACUGCUACUAGGUGGGAAGCUAGUUCUUAUUUUUAGGGCCUUGAAGUGACACAUACACAAAAUUAUAAUCUGCUAAUGAAGAAAUAAUUUAUUCAGGUCAAUAAUAUAAGUGCAAGUUAAUCACUGUUCCAGUACUAUACGAUGUAUUUUUCAUGAGUGAUGAACAGGCCUGCAAUUGUUUUUCUUUACAAGAAUCACAGCAAACAAGGUUAUGUUCUAUUGCCUGUUAUCUGAGCUCUGUUUUUCAGACAUAUUCUCAUAUUCAGGAAUAAACUAAAUCUGAGUUUUAUGACUUGUAUGGAUUUAAGAAAUGUAGGGAGGAGUUUCAUUCUAAUCAAAUUCUUCCUGACACAAUGGUUCACCCUGAUUUACCAGUUUUUGACUACAUUGCUGAGCAGAGAGAAAAUUGCAGAGUUGACUUGCAGUAUUUUGACUGAUUCAUGUCCUAGUGCUUCGGGGAAAUUGCUUAAGGAAGUUGGCGUUGCUCAAAAGUAUAGUUGAGCAAAAUAUAAUCCUUCCAUAUUCGUGCUUGGGAAAGGCCACUGUAUUCUCAGUCCUGAAGAAGAGGAAUGUCUAGUUAGGUUGGGACCACCCUGACAGCCACCAGAAAGUGCUUAUUUACUGCCAGUACAAUAGUUUGACUUAAAAGCUGCAAGCGUCUUGGGUACCUUGCUCUGCUCUAGCCACAAAUAUUUUCCCACUUUUCUUCAUCUAUUGUGUCUCCAUUUAGUGAACAUUUGCCAGAGCUGUCAUGAGAAUAAUACCUUAGAUUUGUAUGGUAGUUUACAGUUUACAAAUAAUAUAUAAUAGACUUAUUUUGAGUACCAACAUCCUGUGUGACGAGCUGAAAAAAAUAGCAGGUUUUGUUUUUUAACUUUAAGAGGUUUGGAAAUUGAACCACAGAGUUGGGAAGUCAGCAGGUUUCAAGGCUAAGACAAGUGUCUGUAAGAAACAAACCAUUUGAAAACAAUGUAUGCAGAUAAGAGGGUUUAUUAUAAGGAUAUUGGAGGAUCUUAUAGAUCUUGACAACUUGGUUGUCACCUCUGCUUUUCUCUUCUUUUUCUCCAAAUAAGAUCUCUCUGCUUGUGCAGUCAAAAUGGCUGAAUAUGGCUACCCUACACUUUCCAAAUUGACAGGGUUGUAGCUGCAUGCAGAGAUUACAUAGCUCUUCUAAGUCCAAGUUUAAAGUUCCUAAGAGAAAGCACGUGAAUGACCCUGCUUGGCUUGUGUCAAAUCAUUCUUGGCCAAGGUGGCUGGUUUACCCAAUAUACACUGCCCAUGAGUGAAAGGCAAUUAUCACAGGAGGGGAGAUGGAUCUUGGGUGUGGGAAACAGGUGUAGAAUUCCUACUUUUUACAGUUUGGUAGAGGUAAUGUUUAGAACCUAAGAUGGUGGUCACAAAACACAAAUGCUUAUGGGGUCAGUUAAAUAACAUAAAUGAAUGAAGCUAAUAAAUGGAGACUGUGGCAAUGAGAGGGAGCACAGGAUCCAUCUAAAAUGAGCUACUACUAGGCCAAGUGGGAUGGCUGACACCUGUAGUCCCAGCUCUCAGGAGGCUGAUGUGGGAGGAUCACUUGAGUCCAGGAGGUAGAGGCUGCAAUGAGCCAUGAUCACCCCACUACACUCCAGCCUGGGCAACAGACCCUGUCUCAAAGGGGAGAAAAAAAAAAAAAAAAAAAAAAAGGAGCUACUACUACUCAAUUCAAUUCUGACUGACUGAUGCUCUGUGGGAAUUCAAGCGCAAGGUGACCAAUCUUAUGUUUUGCAAGUGAUGUCGGAAACUGGGAUUUUAUGUAAAAUCUCUAUUUCAAUUAUGUAGGAAAACAAAACAAAAAGAGAACUAUAACUGCAAGUCAGGUUUGACCUAUGAAAUGGUAGUUUAGGACUUCUGACCUAGAUCAUCUGUGUGGUCAAUUGCCAAAUAAUGACAUUUUAAAAUCACAGCGUCCAUAAAGUCUUUUUACCAUAGAAGAGACUAUGAUGCGUGCCACAUUAAUGUGAGCAGUAUACAUGUUUGUGUAUAGUGCAUAUACACAGGAAACUAAAAAAAUCAUUCAUCCAUCCAUCUUGUUUCUUCUCUGAAUUGAAACCUUUUUGAUAGAUUCAUUUCUUCUUUACUUGGUGAGGUAAUUAUAAAGAGCUGCACUAUUUGCGUUAGAUUUUCCUAGAGAAGAAACCCUGCUGUAAAAUUUUUAAAAACACAUAGAAGUUGUAUGACCAUGAACAACAUUAUUUAACCUAAGUCUCCAUUUUCUCUCUUGUUAUAUGUCAUACCCAUGUCUCAUGGUUGUCAUGAAAAUCAAGUGAAAUAUGACUUUAUGAAGCUCUAACAUGUAUGAAUGCUCAAUGUAUGUUAGGCUUCAUAUUUUGUUAGAAUUAAGUCUAACACAAUACAUUACAAUACAGUAUGAUUCAAAAUAAAAGGUCAUUUAAAACAGAGCAAAUGGAGUUAGAUUGAAUUUCCAAACCUCAAAAGCAACAAUCCAAAGUUGAUUUCUUAUAUAGGUUCAUAAAACCACAAUAUCGCUGGGCCCUGUGAACUGCUGUGUUUUGUGUAACACGUCCUUAGAUUUAUAAAGCAUUAAAUAAGAAAAGUAACCCUUUGGGUUAUAAAAAAUGAGGAUCAAGAAUUAAGCAACAUACCUUGACUGAAAUUAACUUUUAUUAUAUGCAUGUAAUUAUAACCCUCAACAAUUCACAAUAAACACCUGACAAGAUUGCUAAAACUCCUCACGAAAUGGAAUAUAUAAGAUAAAAUUCUUUCAUUCCUAUCGGACUCAGUGGUGCUUGAGAAAACAGAACAGAGAGUCUGGGUUAAGGAAUAGUUCAAGCAAAUGAUAUUUCUUUAUUAUUUUCCCAAGUAAAAUAUAGACUGAAGUAAUAUUAAUAAAUGAUACGUACUUUCCAAUGAAAGAAACAGGGAACACUUUGGUUCAAAAGAAUUGUUGAUAAUGAUAAGGAUGCAUAUUGGAAUCAAAGUGCAGGAAAGCACAAAGCAACCAGCUUUUUGAUGUAUUAUUUAUAGUGAGAUUUUCACCCUGGGUUGGAAAAGUGCCUUAGCAACAGCAUCUUGAAUCUCUUUCUCAUUAUCUCUAACAUGUCAUGUGGGGUAGGAUGGUUUAAAUGCCUAAUAGGAAUAUUUGCAAAUCACUUUGAACAUACUGCUUGCUCUCUUUCUCUGUUUCUCUGUCUUUGCUAGUGAUGCUAAUUAACACCCAAAAACCUUCCCUAACGUUUAAAUAGCAUGUACAGGAGAUAUUAUCUCAUACUGAGUCCACAAACGGGGACAACCUUCCUUGUCCUUUAUGUAUUUCUGUAAUCGCAACACAGGCCACUCCAGACUUUCCAUAUUAGAUAAAUUUAGGGCUG
rnacentral:lncRNA from 1 species